AGAGUUUGAUCCUGGCUCAGGAUGAACGCUAGCGGCAGGCUUAACACAUGCAAGUCGAGGGGCAGCACGUCUUCGGAUGGUGGCGACCGGCGCACGGGUGCGUAACGCGUAUACAAUCUACCUUUUACAGGGGCAUAGCCCGGGGAAACCCGGAUUAAUAUCCCAUAGUAUCAUGAAGUGGCAUCGCUUUUUGAUUAAAGUUUCGGCGGUAAAAGAUGAGUAUGCGUCCUAUUAGCUAGAUGGUAAGGUAACGGCUUACCAUGGCUACGAUAGGUAGGGGUCCUGAGAGGGAGAUCCCCCACACUGGUACUGAGACACGGACCAGACUCCUACGGGAGGCAGCAGUGAGGAAUAUUGGACAAUGGGCGAGAGCCUGAUCCAGCCAUGCCGCGUGCAGGAAGACUGCCCUAUGGGUUGUAAACUGCUUUUAUACGGGAAGAAACACCCCCUCGUGAGGGGGCUUGACGGUACCGUAUGAAUAAGGAUCGGCUAACUCCGUGCCAGCAGCCGCGGUAAUACGGAGGAUCCAAGCGUUAUCCGGAAUCAUUGGGUUUAAAGGGUCCGUAGGCGGGUGCGUAAGUCAGUGGUGAAAGUCUGCAGCUCAACUGUAGAACUGCCAUUGAUACUGCACACCUUGAGUAAUUAUGAAGUGGUUAGAAUAUGUAGUGUAGCGGUGAAAUGCAUAGAUAUUACAUAGAACACCGAUGGCGAAGGCGGAUUUCUGGUAAUGAACUGACGCUGAGGGGCGAAAGCGCAGGGAGCGAACAGGAUUAGAUACCCUGGUAGUCCACGCCGUAAACGAUGAGUGCUAAGUGUUAGAGGGUUUCCGCCCUUUAGUGCUGCAGCAAACGCAUUAAGCACUCCGCCUGGGGAGUACGGCCGCAAGGCUGAAACUCAAAGGAAUUGACGGGGGCCCGCACAAGCGGUGGAGCAUGUGGUUUAAUUCGAAGCAACGCGAAGAACCUUACCAGGUCUUGACAUCCUCUGACACUCCUAGAGAUAGGACGUUCCCCUUCGGGGGACAGAGUGACAGGUGGUGCAUGGUUGUCGUCAGCUCGUGUCGUGAGAUGUUGGGUUAAGUCCCGCAACGAGCGCAACCCUUGAUCUUAGUUGCCAGCAUUUAGUUGGGCACUCUAAGGUGACUGCCGGUGACAAACCGGAGGAAGGUGGGGAUGACGUCAAAUCAUCAUGCCCCUUAUGACCUGGGCUACACACGUGCUACAAUGGAUAGAACAAAGGGCAGCGAAGCCGCGAGGUCAAGCAAAUCCCAUAAAUCUAUUCUCAGUUCGGAUUGCAGGCUGCAACUCGCCUGCAUGAAGCCGGAAUCGCUAGUAAUCGCGGAUCAGCAUGCCGCGGUGAAUACGUUCCCGGGCCUUGUACACACCGCCCGUCACACCACGAGAGUUUGUAACACCCGAAGUCGGUGGGGUAACCUUUAUGGGGCCAGCCGCCUAAGGUGGGACAGAUGAUUGGGGUGAAGUCGUAACAAGGUA
rnacentral:rRNA from 1 species